rnacentral:rRNA from 1 species
GAUGAACGCUAGCUACAGGCUUAACACAUGCAAGUCGAGGGGCAGCGCAGUGUAGUAAUACAUGGGCGGCGACCGGCGCACGGGUGCGUAACGCGUAUCCAACCUUCCCGUUACUCAGGGAUAGCCUUCCGAAAGGGAGAUUAAUACCCGAUGUUGUUAUUUAUUCGCAUGUUUGAAUAACGAAAGAUUUAUUGGUAUAGGAUGGCGAUGCGUGGCAUUAGGUAGUAGGCGGGGUAACGGCCCACCUAGCCGACGAUGCCUAGGGGUUCUGAGAGGAAGGUCCCCCACACUGGAACUGAGACACGGUCCAGACUCCUACGGGAGGCAGCAGUGAGGAAUAUUGGUCAAUGGUCUAACGACUGAACCAGCCAUGCCGCGUGAAGGUCACGGCCCUAUGGGUCUAAACUUCUUUGUAAGGGAGCAAUAAGCUUUACGUGUAGAGUGAUGAGAGUACCUACGAAUAAGCAUCGGCUAACUCCGUG